ACCUCUAGCCAGGGACGCGCGCUCGGUCCCCCGCCGUGCGCCCCCGGUCCCGCGCCCAGGCUCCCGCCCCUGGCCUCCUUACCAGCCACUUGUCGCCCAGCUGCGAACUGGAGCGGGAGGCGGCGGCCGGAGGGCCCAGGACAGCCCCGGGAGGGCGGCGAGGCGGAGCAGGAGCGCCCCGGCUCCGGCCACAUUCUCAGAGUCAGGAAAAGGGGCGAGAGGCCACAUGUCUCCCUCUCGCCCAACUGAAAACGAAACGGCGCUCCAGCAGAUUGGGUGGAAAGAGCUGGGUCUCUUUUCUCUGUUUUUCACGCUAGAAAGGGCUUGUAAACAUUGUUCCUUUUAAAAUGACCUACCCCAGGCAUUUGUUUGGGCACACUUCUGUCCUGGGGUCAUCGUUCCUAGGUGGCUUCGGACCUGGGACUUUUCCUGUAUCUGCACAUUGUCGUUUUAUACACAAUUGCCAAGGUGGGACUGCUUUCAACUUUACUGUGCUUGAAGCUGCAAAGCGGAUCCUGUUACAGUGCAAAGAAGAAAUGGCAAACGGAUAACAGCUACUGUGCCUAGAAGAUGGUUCUGCCCUGAUGUUUCCUGGAAUAAUGCUGAGGACUGCCUUUCGGGUAGCCGCCCUAUUCAGUUCACUUCAUCUCGGAAAUACCUGACCCCUGCCUUGGAUCCAGCGGCCCUCCUGAGAGCUGAGGAAGGAGGAAAUCCUAUGUGUCUGCUCCCGGAGCUGCCACAACCCAUCUUCCCACAACUCGGAACUUGGAAAAAGGAACCCAGGACACGACUUUGCUUUUCUUUUGGACCUAGUUGAAGUCACAGCUUGGAGGAAACCAGUUUGCACUAUUUGAUGAGGAAUUUGGCCACCAAACCACUGAUACUUUCCCAAAGGUUUGGCAGAAAUUGUUUUUUGAGUGGCUCACCAGAGUACCCAGAAGAAUCAGUAUGGAAUUAGAGGACAGUGGCCUACCCUAAAUAAAGACAUGAGUGAUGUAUAAAGUCUAGUGUCAAUUUAUUCAGAAAAUAUCAAAAUUAUUCUGGGAGCUAUGGGUCAAAGUUGAUAGGCACAAACAAACAAAAACGAAAGGUAUUUUAAAUUCACAGCUUGGAUAAGUAAAAGGGAGAUGUUGUCAUUUCUCUUCUUCAAUCCAACUUUAGAUUUUCAAGCCGGAAAAAGGGUAAUUAGAAGUUAGAAAUUGUUAUUGCCAGAAAAUAGCUCUAAACCCUGAAAAAAAAAAAAAAAAAAAAAAAAACUGACCCUCCUCUUGGGGAGUGAUAAACCUCAAUUACUGUUGAUAGUAAAACUGAUAUCAACUCUUCGAAACCAGUGAAAGGUGAAUGGAAACCUUACCCUAGGUUAAGGUUUAAAAAAUGUUCAUAAUAUAUAUUUGAAAGUUCCAUUAUUUAAAAUAUUCAUUAGACAUGCUUUGUAAUGUUAAGUUACUUCAAAAAAUCUUACACAAGGGAAGGGAAGUAUGUAUUAUUCCUUCAUUUAAGAGAAAGAUAAUGUGUGAAUAUUAGUUAAUAUUUAUCGUACAUUUACUACCUGUGUCGAAGCGUAGUGUUACACACUUAAUUUCAAUUAUUUAAUUUGAUUCUAACAAUGAAUCCCCUGAGAUGGAUAAUAUCCUCUUCAUUUUACAGAUGAGACAAUUGAGACUUAAAGGUUAAACAAAUGAUUUCCUAAGCUCAUUCAGCUAAUAAACGGUAGGGGACUGCUUGACACCAGUCCAGUUGACCCUCAAAUCCAUGAUUUCUGCCACCAUAUUCACAGAAACAAGACAAGAGCUGAAAAUAUAGCCUGACUCUUGAAACAGUCAAAGAAUUGUGUAUGUUUAUGAAAGUUCUGAUUAAUAAGAUAUUCUGAGGACAAAAGACAAGGCAUGGGUAGAGGGGCAAUGUGUAGAUUAGAAUGUAUCACAAUGCCCACUAAAUAGUAAAACCAUAGAAAAUGAAAUUUAAUCCUUACUGUGUAGAAUAUUUAGAGUAGAUUGUUUUUUCCUCGGUGUCAAUUACUAUUACAACUAUCAAAGAAUGAAAUUAAACAAGAAACGGUUCCUUUGGUUUUUUUUUUUAAAGGUGGGAGUUAUAAAAACAGUAUUUGCCAUCUGGUUUUAGUUAUGGCUGUGGAAAUUCUAUGGGUACAAUUUGUUGUCAUUGUUGUUACCACUACCAAUACAGAGAUGCUAAUUGUAACAUCAGUUUCUAAAUCAGAUAGUGAAUAAUUACAUUUUCAAUGUUUUCUUAACAUAGAUACAAGUUAACAGGAUAUGCUUCUGGCCUGUUUCUGGAUUCUAAGGGUAGAACCAGCAUAAAACUAGUCAGUCCAAGUAUUUCUAAAGAUCCACAGACACAGUUCUCCUGGAUUUGGGAAGCCUAGAGAUAUUAGCACAAUAAUUAAGGCCCAAGGUAAAAGCAACAGCAGCCUGAAAAUGCAAAAGACCAUACAUUUUAAUGGUAAGUCCUCCCCAGGAAGGAUUAAUAAAUCUCAGGAGGAAGAUUUAUUAUCUGUAAAUCCAGGAGGAAGAAAUCAAGAUGAAAACUAUCAUAUUUAUAAAUUUGAUUGUUGCAAUUUUAUAGUUUGACAUAGUGCAAUUGCUUUAGAUUUGAAGGGGAACUUACUUUAGAGUAAGUCACUCAAUCUCUUUUUUGGAAAGGCAAAUGCCACACCUGAUCCUCAUCACUCCCUUCUCCUUUGUCCAUAGCCUGGCUUUAUUCUGCCAUUAACACACACACACACACACACACACACACACACACAAAUUGGGAAGAGGAUUUCUCAUUUUACAGAAAGUAUGCUGGGCUACACAGGAUAUUCUAUCAGGUUUCUUCCAGCUAUAAAAUUCUGAGACUAAAUAUCAAAUUAAAGAAAGUACUAAUUGUCAGCGAUGGGGGAUGUACUGCUAUUUGCUUCUAGUGGUACUCACUGCUCAUUUCCUAUAUUCACUGGUAUAAAAAAAUUUCAAACACCCUCAAAAAAGCCUAUACUGGUGGUACCAGGAAAACGCUGAAAAUCAUUACUUUCUGUGUGGUGUCCAGCUCUUUUGGUUACAUCAUCACUUCGACCAUUCACUUUUAAAGAAAAACUUUUGUGGAACAAAAAUAUAAAGAUUUAUUUUUUUUCUUGGUGGCUUAGCACAGUGGCCUAAUGUGGCUGACCAUGUGCACCUGUUGUGUGAGUCACUUAGACGUGCUUUGUUUCUUGGUCACAGUUGAUCCCUCAACUCAAGCAUCUCACCCUCAAAAUGUUUGUUUGGGACCCAAGAGGCAAACCUUGAGAUGGGUUAUUUCUUUCACCUUGGAUUGGCUCAUCUGCUGGGAGUGGAGCCAAGCUGACAUUUCCUUUCCUUUUUGUCUGCCUAUCACUACGUAGAGGCAGCACAUAAGAGAGGGAAAGCCAUGCGCGUGGAGUCCAGCACAUCACCCAGAAGGCAGAUGUUCUAUCUCCAUUUUACUCAUUAAAACAAACAAAACCACACCUGGAUUGCCUGGUACUUAAAUAAAAUGCACUAUGAUGAUUGAAGAAAAAUAUCUUAUAUUUAAGGAAUAGUUUUAAUAGCUUACAUCUGUAUUUCUAUUAGCUUCCGUUUCUAUUUUUAAUAUUUGUAUAAUAUUAAAAGUAAUUUUAAAAAUGAACUAAUCUUUUUACAUCUCUUAUGAGAAUUUAAUGGAGAUAUGAUGUUUGAAGAUCAAAGAUACGUGGUAUUUGAAAUCAGAAAAUGUGUUUGCUUUUCUACACAGAUUACAAAUAUCAUGCAUUAUUUCACAAACUCUUCUCAAAGUGUUGAUUUUAAAAUUAGUAAAAGGAGGGUAUAUUCAUAUCACAUCCUGGCAUUUUUAUAGGCAAGAUUGAGCAGCUAUAACCUCUAAAGUGCUUUGAUCCCUAUAAGCCUCAAGAAGAGAAUGGUGCAAUUUGAAUUAAUAACUACCCAUUAUAGAGCAUUUGUAUCACAGUAUUUUCCAAAUACUAUCUUAUUUAACCCUACAGCAAUCCUAUGAUAUGGGGAUUAUGUACACAUUACAGAUGAGAACUUGAGGCUCGGAGAAAGUAAAUAACUUACACAAGAUCACAAAGCAAGUGACUGCCAGAGCCAGGAUCAGAACCCAGUCAGGCUUCAUUAGGAGCUCUGCUGAACUCUGUCUAGAGAAUUCUCACCACCUGCUGCAAAGGCUAAAAGAAAGGGUCAUAUUCCACAUGUAGAUUUUGAGAAAUAUUUGUUAUUUUUCUUAUGAUAAAGGUUAUGCAUACACACUCACACACACACACACACACACACAACUAGAAAUUACAGAAAAGAAAAAAGAUUAGCCAGAAUGUCACCACCUAAAGACAGAUAAUAUUUUGGUGUUUUCAAAUAUUCUUUUAUCUAUACUUUUUUGAAUUAUUUUAUUUUAAAAAUAACUUUUACUGGUUGCCUGAUUAUGAAGUAAUAAAUAUUCACCAUAAAUAUUUUGAAAAAUAUAAAACUGUCUAUAAAAGAAAUUUGAAAUGAUUGCUAAUCUCAAAAUAUAGAUACCUGUCAGUACUUUGGCAUUUUAUCCUCCUUGUGGCUGAGGUCACAUAUCUUGAGACUGAAGCACAAAAUUUCUAUACCAUACAGUUUAUAGUUUAGGCCACAACAUCAUUUUUAAAAUUGUUUCUUUGGUUUUUACUUGAUUUGCUGAUGUUUUAUUUUUUAGAAAAUUGCAGAUGUGAUUUUUAGGCAGCUGAUUGGAAUGUUCUGGUUGCUCUGAAUAGGACUAGCUACUUUGUUUUUUACUGAAGGACAAAUAUUAUUCCUACACACAUAAAAAACCUCAAAGAAUGAGUAAUGAUACUGUUUAAAUCUGCCCUUAUAACUCCAAAGAAUGACUUCAAAUUUUCUUUCUUCCAAAGCAACUUUUAAAAGCCUUUCCACUGCACAGUGAAAGAAAACCACAAACUCCUUGUUUAAUAAGUGGGAUCACGUGCUUUUAACACGAGGAAAAGGUCAAUCUGAAGCAACUGAUAUGGAACUGCCAGAGUAGGUACGUAAAUUUAGGAGUUACAUCAAUUUGGGAGGGCUGCAGAAAUGUGGAUCAGAUUUUAAUCACACUGAGGAAGUUUCUUUGAGCAAAAGACGUGAUGGUUGUUCUCUAGAACCUUUCUGUCCUGUCCGUUGCUUUGCCAAGGGAGCUAGAAAAGAAAUAAACAUUUAAGAACUUAAAAGGCUUCUGGAUAAAACUCAGCUUGGUGCAACACAUUUUAGCUAUCACAGCUUUACUCCCAAGCUUCCACCUUUCCUAGGAGCGCAGUAAAAACCUGAGCCAAAGAAACCAAACAAUAGAACUGAAAUUCUUUAAACUUGAGUUCUUGAGGUUAUAGUCUUUGUGCACUCCAUAAAGUCAAAGCCCUAAAAAGAUUUUUAGAAAACAAAACACUUGUAUCUGUAUCUAUUUCCCCAAACCUCUCUACAUUUACUUACCUUUUGCAGACUCAUGCUUUCUCUUUUCCUUGUGAUUGCAUUUGGAUAGAAUGAAGACCUCUCCUACAGUUCUCAACUUAAAUUCUUUCUUUUAUUUCUUAGCUACGAAAGAAAAUUCAAAAAAUUCAAUGCUCUACUUUGUAACUCCCUGGACAUAGUGAGUCCAUUAUGUACAUCAUGAGGAGGGAGUGGAGAAAGUGGAAUUCUUAUGUAAAUUCAUACAGCUUUGGAAAAUGGUUUAGCAGUACCUACUAAAGCUGAGCAUAUGCAAAACCAGUGACCCAGGAAUGUCAUGGGUACAUAACCUACAAAAAUGUAGACAGAUGCGCUAAAAGACAUGUACAACAUGUUCACUGCAGCCCAGUUCAUCAUCACCCCAAAGUGGAAACAUCUCAAGCGUCCACCAGCUGGAGGCUGCACAAUAAAACUGUGGUACUUUCGUCGGUAGAAACAUGCCACAGCUUGAACACACGCUGAAAACAUAACGUCAAGUGAAAGAAGCCAGGUCCCAAAAAAAGACAUACUGUAUGAUUGUAUUUACAUUAAGUCCCAAAACAGGUAAACUGAAUUCAUGCAAUGGAAAGUCAUGAGAGUAGCUACUGCAUCUGGGGAGGCAGGUGGUGGAGUGCCAGGGAAGGAGCACCAGGAUGGCUCAUGGUGCUAUUUUUAUGACUUGAUGUAGGGGAUAGGUAAUAGGUAGGUCCACUUUGGAAAAGUUCAUCUAGCUGUGUAUUUGUGACUUGCAGUCUUUUCUGCAUGUGUCAAUUCCAGUAAAAAGAUUACUUGAAAAUCAAGUAUAAUAUUAUUGUAUUUACAAAGCCCUUUCUACGUAGCCAGAAACAGGGUUGGUUUCCCAGGUGACUGAGAGGUCGUCAGGAGCUUAGUGAGUGGAGGGCAGGGGACAAGUGUGUUCAUUCUCUCUCCCUCUCUCUCUGCUGUUCUGUAAGGUGACAAGUUAGGCUUACUGCCAGUGUGACCUUAAAUAAGCCAUGCAUGCUUUCUGAAUCCUUUUUUCUUAUUUGGUGAGUGACGUGCUAGUUAAAAUGGUGUCUCCAGCCCUUUCCCGUCCUCGCUGCUGUGAUUCAAGCCCCCUCCUUCUCUGUGGGGCUUCCUCCGACCUCUCGAUUUCACUGUCACCUUUCUCUCUUCCUCUCUCUCCUGCUUCCUCCCUGUCCACCCCCAUCUCUGUCCCCCCAGGGCCGAGUUUGUUUUAUAUCUCUUUUGGUAUCUCCUCUGGUUUUCUGGCACCAUGUCUUACGUAGAGCAAAUAAUAAUGCUUUAAAAAAUUCUCGAUAAAGGAAAAAGUUCAGUAAAGUGUGAAUUUCACAUUGUAGUCAGUGGUUAAAUGCCUCAAACACUUAAAAAGUAGAAUUUAUCUCAACCUGGGCAGAAGGCAGUCCAUGCCAAUUUCUAAAUGGAAUCCAAUAGCAAGAAUGCACAAAGAACAAGCAGGAGUGGUGAGGAUUUCCUCACUCUGUCCCUCAGAGGUGGCGCGUCUCAUCUGUGAGGUGAAAGUGUCAUCACGUCAUUGACAUAAAGUAUAAGUACAGGGAACAUAAUCAUCUGGGAGAUUUUAAUUUGAGUUAAUAAGAGAUGAGAUUUUCAGGCUAAAAGUCUUGGGGCUGGACAAAGAAUAUUUAAAAGGAGGGUUGGUGGAUAAAGAAACUGUGGUAUAUUUAUACGAUGGAAGACUACUUGGCCAUAAAAAGGAAUGAAUUAACAGCAUUUGCAGUGACCUGGAGAUUGGAGACUAUUAUUCUAAGUGAAGUAAUUCAGAAAUGGAAAACCAAACAUCAUAUGUUCUCACUGAUAUGUGGGAGCUAAGCUAUGAGGAUGCAAAGGCAAAAGAAUGAUACAAUGGACUUUGGGGACUUGGGGGGAAGGGUAGGGGGCGGCGAGACAUAAAGACUAGAAAUAUGGUGCAAAGUAUAUUGCUUGGGUGAUGGGUGUACCAAAAUCUCACAAAUCACCACUAAAGAACUUACUCCUGUAACCAAAUACCACCUGUACCCCAAAAACUUAUGGAAAAAUAAAUAAAAGAGGGUUGGAUGAUAAGAAUUUGUCAUCUUGUUUUCUGAAUUGUUCAAUUGUACUUAAUUGUACUUCUUUCCUUAAGGAGUUGAAAAUCUUCCUAAACUGCUGGAGGAUACACCUCUGAUAGCUUGAGACAAAUAUCCUCUUGAUCAUUGUUUCACCAUAUUUGUCUUUGCUCAUGGAGAACCAUUUUGAUCCGUGGUUUAGCCUCCCAGGUGAUUGAACAAUACCGGUGAUCUGAGGCAGACCCUCUGUGACGGAUAACAGUGUGAGAACAGAGGAGAAGCCUGGUUUGAGUGAGUUUUUCCUGAAGCAAAAGGGAAGAGCUUAAUUUCAAAAGGAAUAUCUUGAAAGACGCAUCAACUCACCAUUAGAAAACAUGAAACGACAGAUUACACCCACAUUGAAAGACCUAUCUUAAUUCAGACUUCAAAAUCUUACAAACGUCCAAGUCCCUCCUUUGAAAUGCUACUAAGACUGCAGUAAGAAUACAUAGCAUGCAGUGACUGAGAGGAAGAGAGAUACUAACACUUGAAGUAAUCCAGUCUAUCAAUAGGAGAUGGACUGCUUUGAUUUAAAGCGAUUUACAAAAGGAUUUGGAUACCUCAUCUCUCCUGUUUCGCCAAGGUCUUGACUCAUCGCUGCAGGUUGUAUAAUUAGUCUCAUUAAUCUAGCAAAUGAUGGCAAAAUGCUUGGUAAUGAUGUCUAACUGGGGUUCCUUUCCAAGGAACCUUUGUUGUUUAAUUAGGAGAUAAUGGAUGAGCUUGUAGAGAGACCAGGGUUAUAAAAGGCAGUAGCAUGUCAAUGUGCCCAUGCCUAGUUCAAUACAAUGGUUUUUAAGCCAAGUAUUCAAAUAAAUUGACAUUAUGUAGGUACAUGAAUUUAAAAGGGGUCAUUAUUCACUAACUAUAUUUUAACAUAUGCUUAGAGCAACCCAUUACUGCUGGGGAUAAUAAACGGUGCCCAGAUGAACAACCACAUUGCAUACAAAGGAUGGUGUCUGAGAUCACUACUGGGCCCGACUUAGCCACCAUCUUUCCAAAUAGAAUCAUAGGUUUGGAAAUUUAUCCCUUCUAUGGAUGAAGCACCAAACUAUUAAACUGCAAAACCAUUCUGUAUUUAUUCUUUCCAG
rnacentral:lncRNA from 1 species